AUACUCUGGUUUCUCUUCAGAUCGUAUAAAUCUUUCGCCUUUUACUAAAGAUUUCCGUAGAGAGGAUGGGGAUAGGUAUUUGUGCCUGAUGCUCUGGGCCUGCUUUGAUGGCUUGAAAC